CUCACACACAGACUGCACCCCUCACACAUACACACUGCACCUCUCACAUACGAACACACACAUGGAAUCUCUUACACACUGCACCUCUCACACACACACUGCACCCCUCACACAUGUAUUGAGUCUCUCACACACUGCACUACUCAUACACACAUUGCACACAUUGCAUCUCCUUUAAACACAACAUCUCAAUUUCUACAUGAGCCUUGGGCCAUUA